GCCUGGGUGGCUCAGUCGGUUGAGCGUCCGACUUCAGCUCAGGUCACCAUCUCGUGGGUUGUGGGUGCGAGCCCCACAUCGGGCU
rfam:Felis catus isolate Cinnamon breed Abyssinian chromosome C2, whole genome shotgun sequence.